GAAAGCCGUAAACCCUAUCUUCUUCUUCCGCUCCCUCCGUCGCCGGCGACGACGGCGUUCUUGCAAACCCAGCCCUCCGCCGCCCCCUGCUCCUCCGGUUGCCAAAAGAAGGAUGAGUAGGCGCUGGAGCCGGACGAUUUACGUUGGGAACCUCCCCGGGGAUAUCCGGGAGAGGGAGGUGGAAGAUCUAUUCUACAAGUAUGGAAAGAUAGUUGAAAUUGACUUGAAGGUCCCCCCAAGGCCACCUGGCUUUGCUUUCGUGGAGUUUGAAGAUCCCCGUGAUGCUGAAGAUGCGAUUCAUGGUCGAGAUGGCUAUAACUUUGACGGGAACCGGCUGAGGGUUGAACUCGCACAUGGCGGGAGGGCUAACUCUUCAUCCAUCCCAAACAGCUUUGGUGGUGGUGCUGGUGGAGGACGCCGUGGUGGUGUCUCUAGGCACACAGAAUAUCGUGUUUUGGUUACUGGACUACCUUCUUCUGCAUCAUGGCAGGAUCUGAAGGACCAUAUGAGAAAGGCUGGUGAUGUUUGUUUCUCUGAGGUGUAUCGUGAGGGUGGUGGUACAAUAGGAAUUGUUGAUUAUACAAACUAUGAUGAUAUGAAGUACGCUAUAAGGAAGCUUGAUGAUACUGAGUUUAAAAACGCCUUCUCUCGGGCGCCUAUAAGGGUGAAGGAGUAUGCUGGCAAAAACAGCCGCUCCUAUUCACGAAGCCGCAGCAGAAGCCGAAGUCGCAGCUACAGCAGAAGCAGGAGUCCAAGCAAGUCUCCAAAGAAAAAACCUUCACGCCGUUCAGCGUCAAGAUCUCGGUCGAGAUCAGUGUCUUCUCAUUCACCAGCAGAGUCAAAGGGACGUUCUCCAUCAAGAUGAGGGAUUGUGCGGCGAUCUAGGGAUUGCGUAUUAGGAAAUUCAGGAUGGGGAUUUGGUCAGUUUGCACCAGCUCCUUUGGUUGACCGAGAGCUUGGGCAUAGAGGAUUGUUUUGGAACUCUCGAAGUAGCAUUAAGGCUUGAUGGUUUGGACCAUGACGGCUCUAUGACUUGCUUGGAUUUGAGUACGCGAGGAUUGAACUCCCAUGGCUCCUUCACAGGCUUCAAAUUGGAGGGCUGUUCUAGCGUAUAUAUGCUCAAACUUAACACAAAACACUUAUAAUACUGCACGUUUUGACAUCUGGAACUGAUUGCUUUUAAUUUCAAUGAGCUUGUUUCAUUUGCUUUUGGCCAUUUCAAUGCUUGGGAGGCACCGAGGUUCUUGGAAUCAAGCUGUUAAGGCUCCAUUCUGGAUAUUGAAUUCUGUUGUUUCUGGAACUUUUUGCAGAUCACCAGCAAAAUCCAUGUCCCCUAAUGCAUCUCCUGCCAAUGGUGUAGCAGCAAGCCCAAAGAAACGUAGCCCAAGCAGGAGCCCAUCACGUUCCCGGUCUCCUGAUGUA